rnacentral:rRNA from 1 species
GAUGAACGCUGGCGGCGUGCCUAAUACAUGCAAGUCGAGCGAACAGACGAGGAGCUUGCUCCUCUGACGUUAGCGGCGGACGGGUGAGUAACACGUGGAUAACCUACCUAUAAGACUGGGAUAACUUCGGGAAACCGGAGCUAAUACCGGAUAAUAUAUUGAACCGCAUGGUUCAAUAGUGAAAGACGGUUUUGCUGUCACUUAUAGAUGGAUCCGCGCCGCAUUAGCUAGUUGGUAAGGUAACGGCUUACCAAGGCGACGAUGCGUAGCCGACCUGAGAGGGUGAUCGGCCACACGGGAACGGAGACACGGUCCAGACUCCUACGGGAGGCAGCAGGAGGGAAUCUUCCGCAAGGGGCGAAAGCCUGACGGAGCAACGCCGCGUGAGUGAUGAAGGUCUUCGGAUCGUAAAACUCUGUUAUUAGGGAAGAACAAAUGUGUAAGUAACUAUGCACGUCUUGACGGUACCAAAUCAGAAAGCCACGGCUAACUACGU